GGGAAGUUAAAAAGCGUAACAAGGUCUCCGUUGGUGAACCAGCGGAGGGAUCAUUAGAGAGUUGACCCAAACUCCCAAACCCCUGUGAACAUACCGUACGUUGCCUCGGCGGGGGGCGCCCCUCCCCGCCGGCGGCCCACGAAACUCUGUUUUGGCCCUGAAUCUCUGAAACGAUACACGAAAUCAGUUAAAACUUUCAACAACGGAUCUCUUGGUUCUGGCAUCGAUGAAGAACGCAGCGAAAUGCGAUACGUAGUGUGAAUUGCAGAAUUCAGUGAAUCAUCGAAUCUUUGAACGCACAUUGCGCCCGCUAGUAUUCUAGCGGGCAUGCCUGUUCGAGCGUCAUUUCAACCCCUUAAGCCUCUGUUGCUUAGCGUUGGGAGCCCACGGCGUCCUGCCGUCGCUCCUCAAAUCCAGUGGCGGAGCCGGUGCGCGCUCUAGGCGUAGUAGAUUUUCUCCAUCUCGCCUACGGCCGGGCCGGCCCUCCUGCCGUAAAAAACCCCCCCCUUACAGAAGGUGACCUCGAAUCAGUAGAUCCCCAC
rnacentral:rRNA from 1 species